rnacentral:rRNA from 1 species
UACAGAGGUCUCAACCGUUGUUCGGAUUCAUUGGGCGUAAAGAGCUCGUAGGCGGCCUGUCGCGUCUGCUGUGAAAUCCCGGGGCUCAACCCCGGGCGUGCAGUGGAUACGGGCUGGCUGGAGGCAGGCAGGGGAGAACAGAAUUCCCGGUGUAGCGGUGAAAUGCGCAGAUAUCGGGAGGAACACCGGUGGCGAAGGCGGUUCUCUGGGCCUGUACUGACGCUGAGGAGCGAAAGCGUGGGGAGCGAACAGG